CGUAAGACUGCCACAUGGUAUGCCUCUCCAAUUAAAACUCCCCACGUGGAUUUUUUUUUCCAACUCAUAUCAGGCUAAAUUAUCCCUGCAUUUAACCAAUAGUAAACCAAACCAACGUGAAAAAAAAAAACAAAAAACUCUUCAACCUCCCGUUUACUGUUGUUGCCGUUAACUGAACGAGAAAUUCAUCCUCUCGUCAUCUUCAUCUUCAUCCCCAAUUGCAAAACCUACUCCCGCAGAGCUGAGAAUCUUGCAGAGACCUCGUCGACGCUGGGAGGGCCUAUGGGCGUCAUCGUCCUCGAUCUUCGUCCCGAUUUCGGAAUCGGCCUGCCUCGAUCUUCGCCUACGUUUAUGAAGCUGAGAUUGGACUGAGUGUUGUCAGAAAGUUUUGAAGCUGAGAGUCUAGAAGAAGCAUUAGCCUGCAGUCCAACAAACAUUGAGUUCAAGAAGCCAGAUAAAUGGCUAGCACCAUACCCCAAGUAUGCUGUGGUUAUGUUAUUUCGCUGUCAAGAUAUAGUGUAAAGACUGAAGAUGAAUGUCUACUUCAUUUUUGAAUUGAGUUAUUGGUGUUACAGGUGCAGCUAGUUUGAAUUGAGUUAUUGGUGUUAGAGUUAUUGUUGGAACAUUCAACCUUUGCUAGCUCUCUUCAGAUUAAGAAGGGUUCCAGAUCUACUACCAUAUAUUCAAUACCAUCUGGUUUUAUUAUAUUAAGAAGGGUUCAUCGUCAUCAUCACGCUGAUUUUA